rnacentral:lncRNA from 1 species
GCACCUUAUCCAGUGCCACUUCAGACUAGGCCCUCCAACGUGUUGGUUAAUUGAAUUAUAGUUUCGGAUAAGAUGUGGUCCCUGCCUUUAAAAAGCUUUUAAUUUAAUUAUGGAAGCAGCUACAAACAUCAAUCCAUUAUUCCAAGACAACACAUUUAUCCAUUCAUUCAGCAAGUUUUUAUUUUAGAGAAGAGAGAAAGCAUGUCCAUGCAUACCUGAAUCAUGGGGCAGAAAGUGAAAUGUGGUGCAGAGGAAAUUCAGGCGAGGAGCCACAAAAACUGAGAGCAAAGUGACUUUGCUAAGAGGCUCUGGGAAAAAUCUCAAAGGGGAGGAGCAAAUGCCCAGACCUAGGAGACUGGGCAGAAUUUGGACACAAGGAAGUCAUUGUGGGCUGACAGUACAGGGUCCAACAGAGGCAAAGAGCUGGAAAUGCAGGGAAAGAAAGGGGAACAUCCUCCUCUUCCAGCGGAGGAAGCUGGGUGAAGAAAGGAGAAGCAUUGCGCUGGUGUGGGAAGCACGGGGCCGCUAAGGUUGAAGUGAGUGGAGAUGGGAGGCGGCGGGAGUCACUAGAGGCUAGGAAGAGAGGCUCACACUACAGAGGGCCUUGAGUGCCAGGCUAGGAAAUCCAUAGGGGAAGAAGCCAAGACUCAAGGAGUUAAGAACUUUUCCAAGGGUAGCUAUUAGCCAGGACUCAAACCUACAUACUUGAAUGAAUUUCUACAACCUGUUAUUGAAGACUAAGGAGGCUUCUCAGCCUGGGCUGGAUCCUGGACAGACAGGCCCAGGCAGGCUGUGCACUGUGACCUGGGGCCUUGCUGUGAACAAAGAGGACUUCAAGAGGAGAUGGCCUGGAGGAGUUCGCCUUUGUGGUCAUUUUGCUUCAGUCCGUGACAACCUGGCUUCCAUCAAACCAAUCAGCCCAUCACCCAAUACUAGCUGUUCCAAAUAUAAAUUGUUGUCUUUGUCACUUUGCGUAGUCACUCUCCUCUUGAAAUAUACACAU